ACAUACUUGUUGGUGCACCCAGGGCAAACACAUCUGAUCAAACCCCGUCAACAGUCACUGAGAGGGGUGCUGUCUUCAGCUGUCCCUGGCACAAAAGUGGCUCAUGCACCCAGAUUGAGUUUGAUAGCACUGAUGACAGGAAGAAUUCCAAUGGACAGCAAAUGGAGUUUAAGUCAAAUCAAUGGUUUGGGGCCACUGUGCGGUCCACUGGGGACCAUAUUCUGGCAUGUGCUCCUCUCUACCAGUGGAGCACGUAUGGAUUCUCAGAGAGAGAGCCUGUCGGGACAUGUUUCCUGAAGAAAGGCAAUAACAUUGUGGAAUAUUCACCUUGCCGCUCUAGUAUGUACAUGAUCACAGCUUUUUACCUCUGGCUGCUCA